GGUGAGUGCAAGAGCCCGUGCGGGUGGAUGAACCCCUGUUGGAGAAGCAGGGCACGUGCAAACACACGUGCUGUCCUCUUUGCACGUGCUCCCCUUCUCCAACAUGGGUUUCACACCUCUCUCUCUCUCUACU
rnacentral:pre_miRNA from 1 species